rnacentral:rRNA from 1 species
CGGAGGGUGCAAGCGUUAUCCGGAUUCACUGGGUUUAAAGGGUGCGUAGGUGGGCAAGUAAGUCAGUGGUGAAAUCUCCGGGCUUAACCCGGAAACUGCCAUUGAUACUAUUUGUCUUGAAUACUGUGGAGGUCAGCGGAAUAUGUCAUGUAGCGGUGAAAUGCUUAGAUAUGACAUAGAACACCAAUUGCGAAGGCAGCUGGCUACACAAAUAUUGACACUGAGGCACGAAAGCGUGGGGAUCAAACAGGAUUAGAUACCCUGGUAGUCCACGCCCUAAACUAUGGAUACCCGACAUUUGCGAUAAACUGCAAGUGUCUGAGCGAAAGCAUUAAGUAUCCCACCUGGGAAGUACGAUCGCAAGAUUG